rnacentral:lncRNA from 1 species
GAUCUUCACAAACCUUCACCGCUGGAAUCUCGUCCCCGCUGCUGCUGCUACUGCUGCUCAUCCUUCACGAACCUUCACCGCUGGAAUCGUGUCCCCGCUGCUGCUGCCGCCGCUGCUCAUCCUUCAUGAACCGUCACCGCUGGAAUCGCGUCCCCGCUGCUGCUCAUCCUUCACGAACCUUCACCACUGGAAUCUCGUCCCCGCUGCUGCUGCUGCUGCCAUCUGACUGCUGUUGUGAGCUGCUGCUGGUAACUUGAGCUGCUUGAGCUUGAGCUGUUUUUGCAGAGAACUUGAGCUGCUGCUGGCGUGAAAAGGUAAUCAAACAAACAGCUGCUGCUGCUGGCGUUAAAAGCUCCCUUUGUUUUUACUGGUGCCAUUGGUUUUAACCAAUUUCCACGAUUCUUCUUCGACUCCAAUUUGGAGAUAACAGUGCAAUUUGGUGAUGAACAUAAAUAAAAUCAAAACUCAAGUUUCGAUUAAUUUUAUUUAAUUUUAAUUUGUAAAGUGCCACAUAAUUCAACUUGUGAUUGUGUUUUGGCUUUUCACGUGCUAUUGACACGCUUUCUUAGAAAUUUGUUUCGUUUUCUUUGAAGGCAAAUUUGAAGAACACGUUGAUUAAUAUGUUUUGCCUUUUUUAUUGUCUUCACAGCAGAAUAAACAAAUGGCCGUUUGCAGCAUGCAGUUUUAAGCUUGAAAUAAACUUGUGCUUAUAAAAUUAUUCCCCUGGUGAUCUUUGUCCUUUUUAUAACUUUGGGAAUGGGAAAAUGAAUUUUUGUAGUGUCUGGUUUCCAUGUGCAUGUGGAUUUCCCAUUUAGUUCCUCUGAUUGUUGUGGUAUGUUCAGAAUUUUGUAAAAACACUGUGAUUG